AGGGAGCGAGCGUUGUCCGGAAUUACUGGGUGUAAAGGGAGCGUAGGCGGGGUUGCAAGUUGGGUGUCAAAUCUACCGGCUCAACCGGUAGUCGCACUCAAAACUGCAGCUCUUGAGUGGAGUAGAGGCAGGCGGAAUUCCUAGUGUAGCGGUGAAAUGCGUAGAUAUUAGGAGGAACACCAGUGGCGAAGGCGGCCUGCUGGGCUUUUACUGACGCUGAGGCUCGAAAGUGUGGGGAGCGA
rnacentral:rRNA from 1 species